rnacentral:rRNA from 1 species
CCUACGGGUGGCAGCAGUGGGGAAUAUUGCACAAUGGGGGGAACCCUGAUGCAGCAACGCCGCGUGGGUGAAGAAGUACCCCGGUAUGUAAAGCCCUGUCAGCAGGGAAGAAAAUGACGGUACUUGACCACGAAGCCCCGGCUAACUCAGUGCCAGCAGCCGCGGUAAUACGUAGGGGGCCAGCGUUAUCCGGAGUGACGGGGGGUAAAGGGAGCGUAGACGGCAAGGCAGGUCUGGAGUGAAAGCGCGUGGCCCAACCACGGGACUGCUUUGGAAACUGGGUUGCUGGAGUGAAGGAGGGGUAAGCGGAAUUCCUAGUGUAGCGGUGAAAUGCGUAGAUAUUAGGAGGAACUCCGGUGGCGAAGGCGGCUUACUGGACUGUAACUGACGUUGAGGCUCGAAGGCGUGGGGAGCAAACAGGAUUAGAUACCCGUGUAGUC